UGGAAAAGGGUGAAACCUAUACCACAGGAUUUAUUUGAUUUUUGUGGAUGCUUUCUUCAAGUUCAGCAAAAAAUACUGUCUCAGUUUCCAGGUUGGAUUACUGGUCCAUGUAAGUUAGCUUGCUACGGUUGACUUGCUACCAUUAACAUCAAUCCCUCUGCUUUAAAAGAUGAUGGAAAUCAUUUUAAGGUUUCCACAUUUGAUAACCAUCAAUGAUUCCUGCAGCAACAGUGCAUGGUGUAUCGGGAAAGAUAAGAUCAGCAAUGAUUUUGAUGUCUCCUGUGGUUAAAAUAGCUUGUGCACAUUCACUAUCUCGAUUUACAGACAAAUGAUGGAGAGACUAGAUUAUGAACACAGGUAGUAAAAACCUGGCAUGCUUCCCUUGACCUUAGAAGUCGGAUGAAGUGAUCCAAAGUACUUAAAGUGGUAAAACAGUUAGAAACGGUGAAAGUAAAGAAAUUCUAAUUCCAAUUCCUAAUGUAGUUACUGGAGGAGCACAGAGAAAGGUUACACGUUGCUGUCAAACUUAAACAAAUGAUGUACAAGGAAAAGACUCACUUAUCAGUGUCAAGUGUCAAGCAAGUUCUGCUCUGUUCAUCUCAUUGUGUAAUGCUUUUUUUUUUUGGCACGCCCUUGUGAGCAGCCUUCUGUAUAACUGCACAUGAGUACAGCUUAGCAAGCACAUUGUUUCCUGAUGCCCCUUAUUGCUUGGAAGAAAAUGACUGAGAGAAGAUACCAUAGAAAUGUUUGACAUUUUGAAGGGUUUCGAAACAUUUGACCCCAUUCAUUCCUGCUUCCAUUUAGAGAAACACAAGGAAUUGUAUUUAUAAAUCAAGAGCAACAAGACAAUAGAAAAUGCAUAAGAAUAUUCUAUUCACAAGAAGUACAGGAGCAGUUUACUGGUGUGGCUGGUGGAAUAAGAAAUCUUAAUGGAUUUCAUGAAGAAGCCAGUCAGGUUCCUGUCAACAAAUGCAUCUUGGGAAAUAAAUUAAAGGAAUGAUGCAUGAUAGAGAUUGAUUGACCGUGAAUCCAUUCCUGGCCAACAAUGUAAAAUGAAUAAUCUUUUUAUCAUCACAGAUCAAUGAACACCACUCCGCAUACAAUUCGACUGUUUAAAAGCAGGAUUCAUUCUUGUGUUUGUAGAGUGAAAGAUGAGCGUCUUAUUUAGGGAAUCCCUAAGACCUUCAGCUUUAACUACAUUAAUAUCUUUCAGACCAUUGUGAUUAGACCAACUUAUAGGCAAUGAAGAGAAUCUAAAAAUCGCUGCUUAACAUUUGGUGAUGUUACCAUUGCUGAAUCCCCACAGUCAACAUCCUGGGAGUUACCAUCGUCAAGAAUAUGAACUGGGCCACUGCUUAAAGAAAGUGUGAUUACAAUGGCACGCCAGAGGCCAAGAAUUCUGCGCCAAGUAAUUCACCUCCAGACUCCCCAAGGCCUGUCGACUGUCUACAGGACACUGUCAGUCUCGAAAUCCCCCAUCUAGGGAAAAGAUGACUACUAUUAAUUCUAGGAGGUAAAAACAAUGACUGCAGAUGCUGGAAACCAGAUUCUGGAUUAGUGGUGCUGGAAGAGCACAGCAGUUCAGGCAGCAUCCUGCUUCACGCUGCAACAUCCUGGUAAAUCUUUUUUGAACCUUGUCCACUUUAAUAACCUCCUUCCUGUAAUUGGGGGACCAGAACCUCCUGUUAACACUUGUUUAUUUUUUGGUUCAAUGAAGGGAACAGACCGAGUUUUCAAAACUGCUCCUUGUGUUGAGGUGAAAAAAUGCUCAUGUCACUGAGAAGAAAAAUUUCCAGUGAUAAGGGUUUCAAAAGAACAGUCAAAGGAUGAUGAACUAAACAACAAUUGGAGGAGAAAGCAUUUAAAGAGGGAGUCCAAAUCCAGAGGACAAAAAUAUCAACAUGAUCAUCCCUGAAAUCCAGUGAGAAUUCUGGAGAAAUGUCUUUUCCUAACAAGUGGUACCAACGUAAAAUCAUCCACUACAAGGAUCAGUAAAGCUGGUGAGAAGGAGUGUAUGUGGAGGAAUCCCACCAAUAGAAAAGUCAUAUGUUUCCCCAUGCAGCAUUUGAUCAUUCAUCAACAUUAUGGAAAGACAUACUAAUAUUUCCUACCUGUUUUACAAAGUGCAAUAAAUCCACUUCUUGGGAAUUUGAGCAGCAUUAUUUCCGAAAAUGAUCCUGACUCAACCUAAGUAUGCUUUUAGUAUCCAAUACAUUAAUGGCUGAUUUGAGACAGUGGUAUUGUCCCUAUCUCUGAGGCAGAAGGCCCAGGUUCAAGUCCCACCUGCUCCAGAAUCAUGUAAGAACCAUCUCUGAACUGGUCGAAUGUAAAAUAUCUUUAAUACCCAGUGCCAGAACAACACGGUAAAGUAAGACAGCCAUAGCCUAUUGAUUCAAGGAUUACAUUUACUCACACCUCACUAAACUUUGUUCUUAAUAUUUGCAAAUGAACAAAUUAACAGACAUUUCACAAUAUGGAUUAACAUGGAUUUUAAUCAG